UCGAGGAUCAUUCGCAAUGGGCGAAAGCCUGACGAUGCGACGCCGUGUGAGCGAUGAAGGCCUUCGGGUUGUAAAGCUCUUUCGCUUGGGAACAAGAGAGUGUGGUGAAUAGCCAUGCGAUUUGAGGGUACCAGGUAAAGAAGCACCGGCUAACUCCGUGCCAGCAGCUGCGGUAAUACGGAGGGUGCAAGCAUUAAUCGGAUUUAUUGGGCGUAAAGGGCGUGUAGGCGGGUUAGUAAGUCGAAUGUUAAAUUCCAAAGCUCAACUUUGGACUGCAUUUGAAACUACUAGUCUGGAGGAUUGGCGGAGAAAACGGAAUUCCACAUGUAGCGGUGAAAUGCGUAGAUAUGUGGAAGAACACCCGUGGCGAAAGCGGUUUUCUAGCUUAUUCCUGACGCUGAGGCGCGAGAGCAAGGGGAGCAAACAG
rnacentral:rRNA from 1 species